rnacentral:lncRNA from 1 species
AUGUUCCUCCUCGUCGCCGGCCACCCACCAUGGGCUCUCCCCUCACCUUUCGUCCCCGGUUCUCGAGUCCUUUCCGUCCAAUGCAGCCGCCUUCCCCAGCUCGGCCUCUCUCUCCCGCAGAGAAUCCCUUGCCCGUUGGAGGAUGGUGAGUUCGUGCCACCUCUUGUCCCAGAUCCAUCCCAGAUUUUCAAAAUCAAAAAUCCCCAGGUGUAUUCAAGACCGGAUCCGGAGCUACCCCCCUCCUCUCAGGCUCAGAAAUUGUGCUCUGUCGAAGAUCCAAGUAAAGAUUGCGCCGCGCCCUUGCAGGAAGAUGUGUCAGCUGCAGAUUUGGGGGCAAAUCGAAAUCUGUCUAUGAAGAUCCUCCACCCUCAGAGCAAGAUUGUGCAGAUUCGAAGGCAUUACUCCACCAUACUGAAGAGCGACAUUCAACCCCACGCCGCGCGCCGUCUGUCGGUUGCUGAACGCCUUAACCCUCCGGUAUGGGGUCGCUGGGCUACGCAGCCUCCGUCUAGAUCCCUGGUUCCCAGACGUGAUGCAGAUGUGACUACACAAGGCCUUAACUCACGAAGCUCUACUACCCAGGUGAAGGAAGAUCAGUGGAGUGAAGUCAAGCCGAGAUUUUGGUGGAGAAAGCAGCACGGCUCGUCCUGCCCUUAUUUCUGCAUGGUGGCCUCCACUGGAGAGACUGAGCGAUUGCGUGAGCUUUUCACUGCCCGCUCGGUUGUCGCCUGGGUUGAAGAAGGGGAAAGGGUGGAGGCGAGCACAUUUGCUGAUGAUGUGCGCACUGCAUUCCGCAUCCGCCGCUCUGAUAUCCAAGUCAUGAAGUUCCAUCCUGAAGAUUUCUUUCUCACGCUCACUAAUCAUAGUGAUCGGGAGGCCAUCCUGCAAGAACCAAGACUGAUGCUGAGAAAUGGCCGUGUGUAUCGCUUCCGUCCAUGGGACGAGAGGCGCGGUGCUGAAUGCGUCGACGUUCGCUUCAGGGUCAGAGUAUAUGUGGAAGGAAUCCCUAUGCAUGCAAGAACAGAUGCAACUGCGGCAAAGAUCAUCGGCAAGAAGAGCUCCAUCCACUACAUUGAAGAAUACUCAAGGCGUCGAAACUACAACCGCACUUUUGACUAUUGGGUAUGGAGCUCAGACCCGAGCUCUAUCCCACGAGCAACAAGGUUGACAAUCACGUCAGCAGACGAGGAGGGGCUCCCAGUUGACACUCCCUUCCCGGAGCUGGAAGCUGUGCAUCCUGCCCCUUCUGACACAAAAAAGGUCUCACCUAUCCUGUUCUUAUUCAUAUUGACACUUUGCAAGACCUGGUGUCCCGACAGAAGCAGGGAGCCGGACAGGGGCGAUCGCCCGCAGUACAAUCAAGACAAUAGAGGGCGGCAGAGAAGCAGAGCUACAGACGAGAGCCGAAGCCGAAGCCGCCAUCUCUCGCGCUCUGUAGAGCCGGGAGAAACAAGACUGCGUAGGCAAUCAAGAGAGUCUACCCCCGCGGCUAAGGAGAAGGAGAUUGUGCAGGUCCAGUCCCCCUACAAAACCCCUCCUCCUUACCGAAAUGAUAGCCCUGAUAGGGGUUCGGCCUGCAACAGAAUUUCUUCCUCCGUGACACCUGCUGAUCUGACUUUUUCUUCGCAGGAUUCGGGUGCGAUCCUCAACUUGCUGGAGAAACACCUGGAUCCCAUGCUCCAUGAAGCUUCCAUCCGCAACAUCGUCUACUCUCCAGACACUUCCUCGUCGGCACCUGCUUCCCCUGUUUUC